GGACGAUUAGCUCAGCGGGAGAGCACUACCUUGACACGGUAGGGGUCACAGGUUCAAUCCCUGUAUCGUCCA
rfam:Saccharothrix espanaensis DSM 44229 complete genome